UCUCUCAUUCUCCUUCAAUACCUGGAGACAGACAGCUCACCGGCAGCUCACCGGCAGGAGUAGAAACAACUGGCAGGAGAAACACACUUGGCUGAGCACUAUGGCCCCGAGAUGGAUGAUCACACUGUGGGAGACGAUAACUGCCUGCUGUCCAUGCAGAAGAUACAGGAGCUGGAAUGCUCAGAGAAGAGAUGCCCACUUGCCUCGCCAUACCAGGCUUGAGGAAGAAAUGCCUCCAACCAAGCCAGUGGGUUAUGAUCACUCUGAUGGCAGUUUAUCCAAAAAACUAUCUCCCAGUGAGAAGAACAAGGAUCGCCAGAUAAAAGUCCUCGAUCUCAUUAACAAA